UUUGCUUGGACAUUUUUUUUUUUGUAAACUGAUUAAUCAGACAAGACUUCAAGACAAGACUUCGAGAACUUUGCCAUUUCCCGUGUAUUUUUUUUUCAUGCGACAAUUCUUUACCUUAAAUGAUGUUUUUUGUUGGUAUUUACUGAUUAUGUUAAAGUCGUGUGAUUCGCUAUAGUGGAGUUGACCAGUUCGCCGUAAAAACGUCACUCAGUCAUUUUGAAAUCCAAAUUACAGUAACACAUGGAUAGACUGAGGAUGACAAUCAUGACAUCUUCAAAGCGACACAGGAUUGAUAAGUCUAAAAUGACAACGAGUUUAUGAAUGACGAUCGACAAAUGGAGACAUAAAGGCCACAACCCGGCCAC
rnacentral:lncRNA from 1 species